AUUGCAGUACAUUGAGCUCCAUAGAGACAGCGCCGGGGCAAGUGAGAGCCAGACGGGCACUGCGCAACUCUGUGCCUCGCUGAGGAAAAUAAUUAAACAUGGGCAAAGGAGAUCCUAAGAAGCCGAGAGGCAAAAUGUCGUCAUAUGCAUUCUUUGUGCAAACUUGCCGAGAGGAGCACAAGAAGAAGCACCCAGAGCCUUCAGUCAACUUCUCAGAGUUUUCUAAGAAGUGCUCAGAAAGGUGGAAGACCAUGUCUGCUAAAGAGAAAGGAAAAUUUGAAGACAUGGCAAAGGCGGACAAGGCCCGUUAUGAAAGAGAAAUGAAAACUUAUAUCCCCCCUAAAGGGGAAACAAAAAAGAAAUUCAAGGAUCCCAAUGCAGCCAAGAGGCCUCCUUCGGCCUUUUUCUUGUUUUGUUCUGAGUAUCGCCCAAAAAUCGAAGGAGAACAUCCCGGCCGAUCCAUGGGUGAUGUUGCAAAGAAACUGGGAGAGAUGUGGAGUAACACCGCUGCAGAUGACAAGCAGCCGUAUGAAAAGAAGGCUGCUAAGCUGAAGGAAAAAUAUGAAAUGUUAUUGCCGCGUACCGAGCUCAAGGAAAGCCUGGUGCGGCAAAAAAGGGAGUUGUCAAGGCUGAAAAGAGCAAGAAAAAGAAGGGAGAGGAGGAAGAUGAGGAAGAUGAAGAGGAGGAGGAGGAGGAGGAAGAUGAGGAAGAUGAAGAUGAAGAAGAAGAUGAUGAUGAUGAAUAA